rnacentral:lncRNA from 1 species
GCUGGGCCGAGCCGGGCUGCGCGCGGAGGUAGGGGAUGCAGGCUGGGGGUGAGCAGCAGCGACGGUGCCAUCGGCUGUCGCAUCGGCGUCCUCAGCCCCGCCCCGCGCCUAAGCGGCGCUCGCUGGGAGGGCCUGGCCAUCUUCGCGCGGUGGCCGGGCGCUCCCGGGGUCCCCUGCCUGUGCCCCGUUCCCCCAUCCAGAACCUGGGCUGGAGGUGCUAGGGAGCUCUGGGAGCCUGGGCUGCACGCAGGGAAGUGCUCUCGGCCGCCGGGGUCACAAGACUCCAGGGCUUCACAGUGCCCAAGGCUUGGUGGACAUCGAGCCCACCGGGGAAUCUUUGCCAUCAGCGCCGUGUUUUGAUGCCCGCGGCAAGGAACACCACGAAAUAGGUUUCCUGACACUCAGGUGAGGUGCCAAGACAGAGGGUGGCUGUGAUGCCCAGGCUCGUCUCAAACUCAUGGCCUCUAGUGAUCCUCUUGCCUCACCCUUCCGAGUAGCUGGGAUUCCAGACACAUGAACUUUAUUUUUAUUUUUAUUUUUUGAGACAGAGUCUCGCUCUGUCACCCAGACUGGAGUGCAGUGGCGCAAUCUCGGCUCACUGCAAGCUCCACCUACCCAGUUCACGCCAUUCGCCUGCCUCAGCCUCCUGAGUAGCUGGGACUACAGGUGCCUGCCACCACGCCCAGCUAAUUUAUUUUUUAUUUUUUUAGUAGAGUCGGGGUUUCACCGUGUUAGCCAGAAUGGUCUCGAUCUCCUGACCUCGUGAUCUGCCUGCCUCGGCCUCCCAAAGUGCUGGGAUUACAGGCGUGAGCCACUGCACCUGGCCAUGAACUUUAUAUAAAAUGGAAUCAUGCAGUGCUGUGAUAGAAUCAUAACCACUAAAGAUAUCCACAUCCUAACCCCCAGAAUCUCUGAAUAUGUUACCUUGCCCAACAUAAGGGACUUUGCAGAUGUGAUUUAGUUAAAGACAUUGAGACAGGGAGAUUAUGCUGUAUUAUUCAGUGUGCCCAGUUUAAGCAGAAGAGUCCUUUAUAAGAGGGAGGUGGAAAAGGUAAGAGUGAUGGGAUGUGAAAAAGACUCCACCUUCUGUUGCUGACUUUGAAGAUUGACAAAGAGGCCAUGAGCCAAGGACUAUGGGGUGGCCUCUAGAAGGUGCAAAAGACAAGGAAACAGAUACUCCCCUGGAACCUCCAGAAGGAACACAGCUUCUACCAAUGCUUUGACUUUAGCCAGUGAUCCUUGUCAGACUUCUACAGAAUUAUAAAAUAAUAAAUUUGUGUUGUUUCAAGCCCAUUAAAUUUGGGGUCAUUUGUUACAGAAGCAAUAAGAGACAAAUACAGGUAUUUACUCUUUGUGUCUGGCAUCUUUCACUCAACUUUUUUUUUUUAGCCCAAGCCCAUGACAGUAGAUCAUUGUAUUUGUACUAUAUAACAUUCCAUUACAUGAACAUGCCACAUAUUCUUCGUCAACUGUUGAUGGACAUUUGUGUUGUUUCCAGUGUGGGCGCUUAUGAAUACUGUGGCUAUGAACUUUCUUGUACAUGUCUUUGGGAUAAGGUAUGUGCAUAUUUCUCUUGCACAUAUAUAGGAAUAGAAUUUCUGGGUUAUAGGGUAUGCAUGUAUAGUGGCUGCUGUGAUGUAUCCCCAACUCUUUCAGAACGAAAGGACCUAUUCCCUUAGCUGCUGGGAGGACCCCUGGCUGGCAGUCCCAGCUGCCAGGGCUCUGUGCAAACUAGUCUCAGCUGAAAAGAACUUAUUUGGCCAAGGUCACACAUGCCUCCUAGGAACGACCUGUGUCAUUCAAUGACUGGUUGAUAUGUAAGGGUGGGGGAUAUAAAGGCCCCCUCCCCCAAUGAUACCUGGAAUAGCUUUGAAGGGUCACCCUGGAUUCAAAGUUCUUCAGGGAUCAGAGGAGGCUUUUGCAGAGGCUACAUACCAACCCAGCUUCUCCCCCACCAACCCUGCUUCCCUCCCUUUCCUGCAGGUGUUGAUCAUGAGAGCACUCCCUAGUCAACUUUCUUUCUUUUUUCUCCCUCUAAUCCAAUAUGAUUGAUAUCCCUAAUCAACUUCCUGC